GAUGAAGAACGCAGCGAAAUGCGAUAAGUAAUGUGAAUUACAGAAUUCAGUGAAUCAUCGAAUCUUUGAACGCACAUUGCGCCCCUUGGUAUUCCGGGGGGCAUGCCUGUUCGAGCGUCAUUAUUACCCCUCAAGCUCAGCUUGGUGUUGGGGCCUGCCGACUGGCAGCCCUUAAAAUCAGUGGCGGCGCCAUCUGGCUCUAAGCGUAGUAAUUUCUCUCGCUAUAGAGUCCCGGUGGAUGCUUGCCAGCAACCCCCAACUUUCUAUGGUUGACCUCGGAUCAGGUAGGGAUACCCGCUGAACUUAAGCAUAUCAAUAAGCGGAGGA
rnacentral:misc_RNA from 1 species